rnacentral:rRNA from 1 species
AUGGGAAUAGCGGCGCCACCGUGUCAGGCGACCACGCAGCACGUGAGCAGCACACCCAAGAGCAGUGCGGCGAUCUACGGCGGCCGGCCGGCCACGGCGAGUUCUAUGUCCCACUCCCAGGGAUUCCACCAGGGCAGCAGCGGCGUCUACGGCUUCUCCUCGGAUGGCUUCGACCGCCCGGGAUCCAGCCAGGACCACGACCAGCAGCAAGAGCAGCAGCACCACGUGGCGCAGCAGAGCCGACGCGACAAGAUGAGGGUCCAGGGCUUCGACCCGGCCGCCGCCGCUGCCCACGGGCUGCUCCCCAUCGAUGGCGACGAGCACGUCGAGCCCGGCGCCAUGUACGACCACGCCGCGGCCGCCGGCGCCUCCAACAUGCUCGCCGAGAUGUUCAACUUCUCCGCCCAGACGCCGUCGGGGCCAUCCGCCACCGAGCUGCUGGCCAGCCAGAUGAACGCCAACUACCGCUUCGGGUUCCGGCAGCAGGCGCCGGGAGCGGUAGUAGCCGGCUUGCCUGGCGACGGCGGUUGGUUCGGCAGCGGCGGGCCUGGCCGCGCUGGCGUGGUCCUCGGCGGGGCAAACUUAUUAGGUGAGACGUCCUCGCCGAAGCAACAAGGCGGCAUGGCGGGCCUCGCCACCGACCCGGCCGCCGCGAUGCAGCUCUUCUUGAUGAACCCUCAGCAGCAGCAACAGUCAAGGUCGUCGCCGACGUCGCCUCCGCCUUCGGACGCGCAGUCGGCUAUUCAGCACCACGAGGCGUUCCAGGCGUACGGCAACGCCGCGAGUUCGUUCGGCGGCGGCGGGGCCGGCGUGGUGGAAGGCCAGGGCCUCUCACUCUCUCUAUCGCCGUCGUUACAGCAGCUGGAGAUGGCGAAGCAGGCCGAGGAGCUAAGGGUGAGAGACGGCGUGCUCUACUUCAACCGACAGCAGCAGCAGCUCCACGUCGGAUACGGCCCCGCCGGGGUCGCCGGCGUGCUGCGCAACUCCAAGUACACGCGCGCGGCCCAGGAGCUCCUCGACGAGUUCUGCAGCGUGGGCCGCGGGCAGACGAUCAAGGGAGGCGGGCGCGGCGCCGGCGGCUCCUCAUCGAACCCUAACGCGAGCAAGGGCGGACCCUCCAGCUCCGGCGCCGGCCAGUCGCCAUCGUCGGCGUCCAGGGAGCCCCCGCAGCUGUCCCCCGCCGACCGGUUCGAGCAGCAGCGCAAGAAGGCCAAGCUCAUCUCCAUGCUCGACGAGGUGGAUCGGAGGUACAACCACUACUGCGACCAGAUGCAGAUGGUGGUGAACUUCUUCGACUCGGUGAUGGGGUUCGGGGCGGCGACGCCCUACACGGCGCUGGCGCAGAAGGCCAUGUCGCGGCACUUCCGGUGCCUCAAGGACGCCAUCGCCGCGCAGCUGCGGCACACCUGCGAGCUGCUGGGCGAGAAGGACGCCGGCACGAGCUCCGGGCUGACCAAGGGGGAGACACCGCGGCUCCGCGCCAUCGACCAGAGCCUCCGGCAGCAGCGCGCCUUCCACCACAUGGGCAUGAUGGAGCAGGAGGCGUGGCGGCCCCAGCGCGGCCUCCCCGAGCGCUCCGUCAGCAUCCUCCGCUCCUGGCUCUUCGAGCACUUCCUACACCCGUACCCAAGCGACGCCGAUAAGCACCUGUUGGCCAGGCAGACGGGGCUGUCCAGGAACCAGGUCUCGAAUUGGUUCAUCAACGCCCGCGUCCGGCUGUGGAAGCCCAUGAUCGAGGAGAUGUACCAGCAGGAGACGAAGGAGCUCGAGGGCUCCUCCGCCGGCGGCGGCGGAGGCGGGCCCGAGUCCGGCAACGACCCCUCUGGCGCCGACGACUUGCACUCCCCGACGACCACCGGAGCGCAUCAGCACCCGCAGCAGCAAGUAGUAAUGCAGCACGGCGACGGCAGGUACGGCCAACAAGAACACGGGAUGUCCGGCGUCCACCCCCAUAAGCUCGACCCCGGCGCGGGGCCCUCGGUGGCGGACGCCGCCUUCGUCGGCCUUGAUCCGGCGGAGCUCCUUGGCGGCGACGCGCACGUGGGUGCCGCGGACGACCUGUACGGGAGGUUCGAGCCCGGGGUGAGGAUGAGGUACGGGCCCGCCACGACCGGCUCGGUCUCCGGCAACGUGUCGCUUACGCUGGGCCUGCAGCACGCCGGCGCCGGCAACCAGGGGCCGGACGGCAGCGGCCGGUUCUCCUUGAGAGACUACAAUGGUUGUUGA